CCGCUACUACAACCGCGCAGAACAGGUUAUAAAGCUUGUUAUUAGCUACCUGUAUGGCGAGUCUGAGUCAAAUG
rfam:Gracilibacillus boraciitolerans JCM 21714 DNA, contig:contig_6.